GAUGAAGAACGUAGUGAAAUGCGAUAAGUAAUGUGAAUUGCAGAAUUCCGUGAAUCAUCGAAUCUUUGAACGCACAUUGCGCCCCUUGGUAUUCCGGGGGGCAUGCCUGUUCGAGCGUCAUUUCAACCCUCAAGCUUCUGCUUGGUCUUGGGCCGUGCCGGCAACGGCUGGCCUUAAAACUAGUGGCGGUGCCAUCGAGCUCUACGCGUAGUAAUUCUAUCUCGCGUCUGGGCUUCGGUGGACGCUGGCCAGCAACCCCCAAUUUUCUAUGGUUGACCUCGGAUCAGGUAGGGAUACCCGCUGAACUUAAGCAUAUCAAAAGGGAGGA
rnacentral:misc_RNA from 1 species